ensembl:ncRNA F10C1.18 ncRNA
UGCACCUGUUUCCGAAUACGCAAAAAGUUUAGCACGAGUGGGGUUCGAACCCACGAGGUGUUAUCCACCAUUGGAACUUAAGUCCAACGCCUUAACCACUCGGCCAUCGUGCUGGCCAUUCGACGCGGCGCUCCGUAGCCUUCACAUUACUGCGGGAAGAAGAGAGCGCACUCUCAUUUCUCUGUCUCGAACAGG